rnacentral:lncRNA from 1 species
AUGGCCGAGAUGGCUGGGAAAAGCAUCAUUUCCAGCAUGGAAAAGCUGUCUGAUGAUAAUUAUGCUUCGUGGUCAGUAAUGAUGCGGUCUUUGCUGGCAUCUGAGGAUUUGGAAAAUACCCUCAAUGGAACAGAUCAAAAUGCUGAGCACAGAAGGAAAGCCAAAGCAUAUUUGAUACUGUGCCUCCAACCAAACCAACUUGUCCAUGUGAGAAAUAAGGACACUCCUGAAGAGAUUUGGCAAGCUUUAAGAAAUGUCCAUGAGAGAGAGACUUGCAUGUCUCAAAUGAUUUGGACUAAGAGGCUGUUUUCAGCAAAGCUUGUUAAGGGUGAGGAUGUCAGAAAACAUUUGGACAAUGUAAAGCAAUUAUUGAUUGGAGCUGAGGAAAGAGGCCUACAAUAUUCUGAAGCACAGAAGUGUUAUCUGGUGCUGUGCAGCUUGUCUGAGGACUGGGACUUUCUGGUACAUUCUUUCCAGAAUGUGAGAGUCCAGGAUUUAACUUUGGAUUCAGUUUGUGGGAGAAUCCAAGAAGAAGUGGACCGGAGGGCAUUUGAACAAGCCCAGAAGCAGACGAUGGCGCAGUGCGACCAGGAGGGGGCGCAAGUGGUCGGCCUUGGUCCAGAUGGUGUUCCUGAGAAUCAUGAGGAGGUUGCAGUACAUCAGGUCAAAACACGGCGGUGUUUUGUCUGCAACAAGCCGGGGCAUUUUGCCAGGAGUUGCCCAAACAACAAGGCAAGAAGUUCUCGUGGGAACAGAGGGGCUAAGAAUUUGUCAACAACAACUAAGCCCCAAGUGUUUAUGGCUGCGGUGAAUGGAAGGAUCACCGAAAAGAACAAGUGGUAUUUGGACUCAGGUUGUACACACCAUGUUGUUACAAAUCUUAAACUUUUGAAAAACAGAAGGGAUGUGUCUGGAACAGCAGUGACUUUGGCUGAUGGAACUGAGAGGAAGUUCAACAAAUGUGGCACUGUGUUCAUUCCUUGCUUGAAUGUGGAUUGGGAAAAUGUACUUUACAUCCCAGAAUUGAGUUCUAAUUUGUUAAGUGUGGCUACCUUAACUGAGAACGGAUAUAGAGUAAUUUUUAGCGGAAUCUAUUGCUAUAUACAGAGAGAUGGACGAGUAGAGGCUAUAGGUGUAAAAAGAAACAAAAUGUAUAUGAUGUUUGACAAAAAUAACUUUCCAGAUGGGGCACAAGUCUAUUGUGUGAAACAGAAAAUUAUGCAUGACAGGUGUAUCCAUCAUCUUCACAGAACGAUGGGUCAUGCACGUGUAGAGGUGCUCAGAAAGACUUUAGAAAUAUGCACAGAUUUUGAGUGUGAGAAAUGUGAAAAUUUAUUAGACUGUGCAGUUUGUUCAGAGAUGGGAAUUGAAUCAAAAGAGCAUCCAAAAAGAUCUGGAAUUAAGACCCAGGAAAUGUUUGAAAUGGUCCAUCUAUAUGUAACAGAAUCUGAUGUAAAAAGCCAGGGAGGUUCUCAAUUUACUUUGCUGUUAGUAGAUAGACACACGAGAUUUGGAUAUAUUUACUUCCUUAAGGAUUUGAAGGAAGCUGUUGUAAAGGUGUCUAACUGGAUAGACAUGGUUCAAAGGGUCUAUGAACAGCAUGUAAGUCAAAUAGUUUUUGACAAAGGAGUUAAUGUGUGUAAUGAAGAGAUGAAGAAAAUGUUGAGUCAAAGGAAUAUAGGAUUUAAAAAUGUAAAAUCAAAUAAGUCAAAUGAAGAAGGCGUGGCUCAAAAUAGGAUGAAGCAAAUUCUUCACAUGAAUGAGUGUUUAAUUAGAGAUUCCAAAAGCUCAACUAAGAAUUGGCCAGAGUGUUCACACACAAGUAAUUACAUUUUAAACAGGUUAUGGGAUGAGGAAUUGGAUGACAUCCCAUUUCGGAGAAUGUACAAAAAAACCCCCAAAUAUAGGAUAUCUAAAAGUAUAUGGUCAAAAUGCUAA